rnacentral:misc_RNA from 1 species
CAAUCAAAACACCUCACUGACAUUACAUCACCCGUUGUCUUCCAGACAAUGCUAAAUGGCAAGCCAAGCCACCACAUGACCGCGUUACUCCACUCGACCAUACAGAGUGAGUAGAGUGAGUUGCGGGGUGUGAUCAGCCAGUAGCGACGGCUACCCGUUUAAGCCAGGCGCAUUUGAAGACCUGAUAGACGAGCGUUUUAAAACGUGGAGGUCACAGCGAUCACGAGCACCUGAGUUGGACAAGGAGAGAUCAUUCGUACAUAUUUCGAUAUGUUGUGGAUUUGAGAGGGUUAGAAUGAAAGCAUCAAGGUAGGAAUAACAAACAAGUCAGCUCUCAUCUUGAGUCUAGGUUCUGUUCUGCCUGUCAAGAUGAAGGCGAGGCUGAUGGGCCGGGUUAAGAGCGCUCUCAUCGUAGUGGGCGUGGUCUCUGUGCUUCUGCCAACGAGUCUGAUCCUCACCUCCAACAUCCGCGCUGAUACCUCGAGUGACACAAUACAACGGGUCUUUGUUGAGGCGACUCGACUGAAGAAACUGUUAUCUGUAGCUGAGGCGGACUCAAGGCAACACGACAACCGCAGGGCAGUGAGGUACCGUAAUCGCCAAGAAUUCUGUGCAGCUAAAGGAAACACCGUCAUCACGCCCGAGAUGUUUAAGCAUAUCAUUGUCAACGACAAAUAUAAGAUUUUGUAUUGCCAAGUACCAAAGGUCGCCUGCACAAACUGGAGACGGGUCAUGUUGAUCCUCACGGGGAAGAUGAACACAUCGGAGCCAAUGGAGCUGAAGGCCUCAGCAGUCCACGGUGCUUAUGAUGACUAUUUGACUUACCUCAGUGACCUCCCAAUUAAUGACAUCAAAUAUAGGCUGAAAAACUAUUACAAGUUUGUGUUCACUCGUGAACCCUUUGAGAGAAUAUUAUCAGCUUACAGGAACAAGUUUAAAGGGAACAAUCCUUUCUUUCACAAACGCUACGGGAAGAACAUCGUCAGAAGGUACCGAGUGAAUUCCUGGAACACAAAGCCAGAUGGUAAAGACGUGUCAUUUAAUGAAUAUGUUCAUUAUCUAACCGACUAUACACGCAGGGAACCUCUUAAUGAACACUGGGAGAAAAUGACAGAGCUUUGUCAUCCUUGCCUUAUAAAGUAUGACCUUGUAAGCUCCUAUGAUGACCUAGAGACGGACUCGGUGCGUCUUCUUGACAAGAUUGGAGCGUCAAGGAUCCUCCAAUUCCCGAAACGAUCGGCGUCAUACAAGCACGCAGGAACUGAGGAGCUUCUCCGUCAGUACUACAGCCAGAUCCCACCAGUCAUGUUGGAUCAGCUCAUGGAAGUGUAUUAUCCAGACUUUCUCAUGUUCAGGUACAAGGUUCCAAACAGUCUCCGGAAUCUCACACACUGGCAAGUCAAGCUAUGAGACAAUAGGCACUGUUCACAACAGUCUUUGUCAUUCGUGAAGGUGUAUUGCAAUGAACAUCCUUCCUUAUGGUGUAUUACAAUGGAUACCGUUCGUGAAGGUGUAUUACAAUGGGUACCGUUCGUGAAGGUGUAUUACGAUGGGUACUGUUCGUGAAUGUGUAUUGAAGUUGGUACACUACUUGAAGGUGUAUUACAAUGGGUACCCUUCGUGAAGGUGUAUUACAAUGGGUACCGUUCGAGAAGGUGUAUUGUAUUAGGUACCGUUCGUAAAGGUGUAUUGCAUUGGGUACCCUUCGUGAAGGUGUAUUACAAUGGAUACCCUACGUGGAUAUGUAUUACAUUUGGCACCCUUCCCGGAUGUAUAUUAUGAUGAUUACCAUUACCAGUGUGGGGUACCGUUCGUGAAGCAACUGGCCCUUCUAACUGGCCUACAACCCUUCGUGAAGAUAUAUUUCAAUGGCUACCGUUCGUGAAGGUGUAUUGUACUGGGUACCGUUCGUGAAGAUGUAUUACAGUUGAUACCUUUCGUGAAGGUGCAUUACGAUGGAGGUGUACCAGUAACUGGUGGAGAUGUAUUACUAAAUAAUAUGGAGGUAUAUUAAAUCCGGUGCCAACAGGGCCACGGACAGGUCUGGGAAAUAUUAUCGCUACUUGCAUGUUUGUGAUGGCUGUCUUGAUAUGUCAAAUUCGAUCAUAACAGCCGUGGGUUGUAUUGACUUCAUGUUAAGGUUUGAUCUAACCGGCCAUGAAUUGCAUUGCAAUUGUGAAUGGACUUAUUUGAUCAUGCUAGUUUUGACUUAUUUUUUAAUGCAAAUUGUACGAGUGACGGGUGCUACCGAUAGGGCAGGACAAACUUACCCUUUUCGCGAGCACCCGGUGUCAUCACUUGUUUUUCUCUUGCAUUGACGUUAUAUAUUUAUAUUGUAUUAUCGACUUUUGCAUGGUUUAGUCAUUCCAAUCACAAGGUGUAUUGCAAUUACCUUUAUUUGAACGGGGUUUUUUCAUCACAUCAUACAUGAUCUGAAUUCCAACGAUAUUCCAUUUUGUCUGAAUAUCAAUGGGACUUGCAAAAGUAAUAAAUUGAUACUUUUGCCAAUGAA